rnacentral:rRNA from 1 species
UACGUAGGGUGCGAGCGUUAAUCGGAAUUACUGGGCGUAAAGCGUGCGCAGGCGGCUCUAUAAGACAGAUGUGAAAUCCCCGGGCUUAACCUGGGAACUGCAUUUGUGACUGUAUGGCUAGAGUGCGUCAGAGGGGGGUGGAAUUCCACGUGUAGCAGUGAAAUGCGUAGAGAUGUGGAGGAACACCGAUGGCGAAGGCAGCCCCCUGGGAUGGCACUGACGCUCAUGCACGAAAGCGUGGGGAGCAAACAGG